AGACAUUUAGAUCUCAUGGACACAUAUUAUGGACUUGCAGAUAUUGGACCAGGACUAAAACAAAUUGAUGGAUUCUUUAACUCAUUCCUCUUGACAGUUUCUAUUGUAUAUAUUGUUUCUAAACUGUAACAUUUUUUUACAUUGUGUUGUUGUCAGGAGCCAUUUUAAUGCCAUGUCACUUUAUAAGUGAGUCAUCUGUCAUAUUUUAGAGCUGUUUACAUAAAACAUAGUACACAGCAUUACAGAAGAUGUCAUGCAAUAUUUAAGACUUAUUUAAUGAGAUAUUAAAUGUUUUAAAAA
rnacentral:misc_RNA from 1 species